GAGCGGUGGCCUUAGCGGGUGUCUUGAUUUAGGCCCUCCAGAGCGCGGAGUGGGGCAGGUUUUUGGGGGGCCUCCCUAAAGUUCUGGAGUCAUAGGGAGGAAAGUUGGGUGUCAUUAUAUCCUUUCAGCGGGAGAGCGCGGGACAGGCCCGAGUGUUUCCGGGUCGCUCGGCGACCUUGCCGCGGCGGAGCAGUGCGGCCUGCGCUGUCCGCUGAGUUGUUUGCGAGCCGGGCGGGGGCGUCCGGGGAGCCCGGGCAGGCGGGAGAGCGCGGGGGACCGCCGGCGUGGACGGGAGACUCCGGGGCGGGGAGCCGCGAGGGCCUGAGGGUCGUGGGUAGCCAACCUGAGGCAGCUCUCGGAAGCCUCGCUGGUGCCUUGGUUCUGGACCGUGGGAACGUGGAAAAAGCGCUUUAGCUAAUUAAACCCAGGGAUGCUGAGAAACCUUGCUCUCCGUCUAGAGUGCGAGAGACGUUGCCGUUUGAUAAAUCGUUCUGCCUGCGAUGCUGAGCCCCGUGGAUUUCCAGCUGUAGUGCGCAGAUUGAGGCGUUUUCGGACGCAACGUUGAACGUUUGUGUUAAGGGAGAGUAUUGUAAACAGCACAACAGUUCUCCCUUCCCACCAACUCACCUGCCUGUUGGUUAUAUGAUGGUCCGCACCAUGGAACCAGUGGCAAAGAAGAUCUUUAAAGGAGUUUUAGUAGUUGAACUCUUGGGUGUUUUUGGAGCAUAUUUUUUGUUUAACAAGAUGAACACAAGCCAAGAUUUCAGGCAAACAAUGAGCAAGAAAUUUCCCUUCAUCUUGGAAGUUUAUUACAAAUCCAUUGAACAGUCUGGGAUGCACGGAGUCAGAGAGCAAGAUCAAGAAAAAUGGUUGAAUAGCAAAAAUUAGCAGCUUUAUACUUACCAGCAAGACUACGAAUAUCCUUCAUAAAAUGUUUUCUUUUUGGCUGCAUCACAACGCUCUCUGUGUUUUCUGGAAGGCAAACUGAAGUUUGGGGAGAUGAAAAAGUUGACCAAGAGUUCCACAACAAGUUUGAAGAAAUGGACUGGCACAUUUCUUGAUCCCCAAGGUUUAGUGUGCUCUUAUUUAUAGCUCAAAUGAAGAGGCUGCAUUUCUAAAAGGUUCACGAGAGUUUCUACAAACUGGAGUGUGUGAACAGCAUCAUCCUGAAUAAGAAGAAUCAUGGCUGCCAUCCUGUCACCUAGCGUCCCUGAUGACACAAUUGUCUUCAUCCAGGUAGAAGAAGCUCCCUUUUGGUUAUUUGUCUUAUUUUUGAAUAAGUUGAUUUCAUGCUCAUAUAAUUUUUGAGCCAAGAUUUUGUACUUAGACACAACAUCCUGAGGCUGGGGUUCCAAAGAAUAUUCACUGCUGUACUCCAGAUCAUACCAUUUGCCUCCAGGCUUGAGUAACAAUGUCUGUCUCUCAAAAAAUUCAAAGAUGUCCUGUUGUUUAUCUUUCUUAACUUUUGGUGUGACACUGUUGUUCUCAUCAGAAUGUUGUUCUGGCUUCUUCUUAUUUUUCACCUUACCGAGUGAUGCCCUUUCACUUUCCGCUGCAUUUUGCUUUUUAUUAUCUACUUUAGAUACUUCUGCUUCUUUUUUGCUGGCAUUUUCUUUUUUAGCUGGUUCAUCUUCUUCAACUAAGAAAGCUUUUGCAUACUUGGCCAAACUAAGAUUUUGAAUAAAUGCUUCCAAUUCAC